rnacentral:lncRNA from 1 species
CUGCUCUAGGCAGGAGGCAGCAGACUCACUGCUUUGUGACAGAUGGUCCUCCUUGAGGUGAGUCCUUCAUAGCUCUGCUGUACUGCAAGCUCCCUGGAAUCAGGGAAAGGGACACGGUUUAAUACAAUGAUUUACUCUUUCACCAUUUACUCUUUCAGAUCUUCCUCAAGAUCUACGAACCUUUAGAAAACAGGACAAAGGAGAGAGGCAUUAGAGAGAAAGGAGGAUGGUGAAAGGAAAUACAGAAAAGAAGGGAGAGUAUUCUUGCACAGUAGAGCAGGUCUGACCCUCUGUCAUUGCUCUCUACAGAAAAUGAAACAGUGAGUUGGGUCAAACAGAAGGUCUUCCAGAACAGCUGGGAAACCUGCCCCAAGAAAGAGUUCAGGUCCUGCUCAUUAUCUUCAAAAAGGGCUGAAGACUUCUGGUCUAUACACUGUUUUCUUGUCCAAAUGCCUUUUCUGCCUUGAGUGGUGUUGCUGUUCUCUGCAUCCUCCUCUGUACCUUGUUCUUCUAUAUGUUCCUGGAAACAUCCUAGAAGCAUAUUGAUGCGAUGAGGGAUUUCUCCUUGAACAAAGAUUUCUCAUUCAUAUAUAAAGUGAUUCCUCUCCAUUCUAAUGACUGCUUUCCCUCUUUCUUUGUGUCUGUCAUGCAUUUUACAUGAAUGAGUUUGAGUCUUAGGAUUUUCUGCCAUUUAUAACUGUUUUUAUUUUCUCUUAUGUUCAUUUGUACCUAUAAUAGUUCUUGGCAGAUUACCAUGCAUUUCUGAAAAAGGCGAUUUUCUCCUUUUUCUGCGGCUCUUUUUCAAGCUGUUUAUAUGUCUGAAUUUACUAGGGCUGAUCCAGAGUUUAGUAUUACUUUGAGUGUGUGAGUCAUAAUCAACAAUUUUAGGCUGCAGUUAAGAAUGGUCCAUUGAAUCCAUUAGCAAGGAACUGAUGUGAAAAGGAAGAUAGAAAUACUAUAAAAUUACUUCCGUAUGCAGGAAAAGAAGCUUAUUCCUGAAAAAAAGAAAAACCAAGCUAAUGGAUGCACAUUAGCAAACAGGUAAGUGCCCAGGAAAUACUGAAUAAAGAAUUUUAGACUUUCCUUGUGUUGUGGUUU